GAUGAACUCUGGCGGCGUGCCUAAUACAUGCAAGUCGAGCGAAGCGGGGACGGGGGAGUAACACGUAGAUAACCUCCUAUACGACUGGGAUAACUUCGGGAAACCGGCGAUAAACCGGAUGUUUAUAUAUGGAUCUGCGCUGCAUUAGCUAGUUAGUAAGGUAACGGCUUAACAAGGCAAAUAUGCAUAGCCGACCUGAGAGGGUGAGCGGCCAAGCUUGACCUGGGACACGGUCCAGACUCCUACGGGAGGCAUGAGUAGGGAAUCUUCCGCAAUGGGCGAAAGCAUGACGGAGCAACGCCGCGUGAGUGAUGAAGGUCUUCGGAUCGUAAAACUCUGUGAUUAGGGAAUCGGUACCGAAUCAGAAAGUCACGGCUAACUACGUGCCAGCAGCAGCGGUAAUUC
rnacentral:rRNA from 1 species